AGUAGAAUAGCAAUAUUUUACCAAGAGUGACGCACGGGUGCGUAACACGUAUGCAACCUACCCUUUACAGGCGGAUAGCUCGGGGAAACUCGAAUUAACCCGCCAUAAUAUAAUUGAAUGGCAUCAUUUGAUUAUUAAAUCUGCGGAGGUAAAGGAUGGGCAUGCGUCUGAUUAGUUAGUUGGUAGUGUAACGGACUACCAAGACGAUGAUCAGUAGGGGAACUGAGAGGUUGAUCCCCCACACUGGCACUGAGAUACGGGCCAGACUCCUACGGGAGGCAGCAGUAGGGAAUAUUGGUCAAUGGGUGAGAGCCUGAACCAGCCAUGCCGCGUGCAGGAAGAAGGCCUUCUGGGUUGUAAACUGCUUUUGCCAGGGGACAAAAAUACCUUGCGAGGUAAAUUGAAGGUACCUGGUGAAUAAGCCACGGCUAACUACGUGCCAGCAGCCGCGGUAAUACGUAGGUGGCAAGCGUUGUCCGGAUUUAUUGGGUUUAAAGGGUGCGUAGGCGGCCCUGUAAGUCAGUGCUGAAAUAUCCCAGCUUAACUGGGAGGGUGGCAUUGAUACUGCGGGGCUAGAGUACAGAUGAGGUAGGCGGAAUUGACGGU
rnacentral:rRNA from 1 species